CAGGGUCGGUGACGGUUAAAAUUAUCAUGGAUUUUAUAAUUACACUUUAAAAAACGAGUCGGACGUAUUCUUCAUGUUUUAGGAAACUUCACGCAUGGAUAUACCACCAUCAUAGUGCCUAAUGGAGUCUAAUGCCUGGUUCAGCAGAGGUCGCCGAGGUCAAAGCUGAAGGAGGGGAAGAAAGGUGACACUGCAGACAAGCCUUCGAGAAUGCGUGACAUAUCUGGUGAAAGAUAGCGUCUUUGUUCAAGUCGAGAGAGACGGUGCCAGCGGCCCGCGUCCCUUGCGGGCAAUGGAUGCAGUGCAUGUCAGGCCCAGAAAAGACUUCAUCAAGGAUUUGCGGACAACCUCUGGUCAUCCCCAAGCACAUCAGCUCCUUCACCCUCCCUUCUGUGGACCUUGUGCCCCAUCCCUGGUCUCAGCCUGAGCUCUGAAACUCAAUUCACCCAUAUCGCAUCCAUUAAGGUCUGAUUCAUGCUCCACUCGCAAGGGGCCAAGCACAGCUAUCCAUCUUGUCUCCCGCUUAAAGGGUGCUGUUUACCUUCCGCUGGCAGAUCUAGGGCUUUGCUUAAAAACCAUCCUAACCUGUAAAAGCAUCAAAUUUUAACUGUGAUGUCACUCUCAGGAGAAACGCUUUUAUAGUUACUUGUCUAUUGAACAAGGUCUUUUUCUUUGUGCAGACUUUCGUGACUUUUAUUGUUUCUCCUUUCAGGCUGGUUGUCUGCUGCUGCUGGCUGAGACUGUCUCUGUUGUCUGCAUCAGUGGCACAGCGACACAUCUGCAGGUUGUAUUGCCUGCUCACAAUAUGAGCUCGUUUUUUUUCUAGCCAUUGCAAGGCUAGUAAAACAAACUUACUCUGUCUUCAUUUCUUUUCAUAGGGCAGCGAGCAAUCAAAAGCAAAAUAUAAAUCAUAACGGAGCACAAUUUAU